GCUACAAAGCAAGCUAUCAAACGGAAGAUAGCACAAGCUGCUUCUGUCGACUUCCAAUCACGGAGUUUGCCAGCAAAGCUUCGUAUAAAUGCUGAUGACCCAGAGGAUGUGAAAUCUGCUAAGCGUAAGAAGAUUCAUGCUUUCAAAUCAAAGAUGCGUUUUGAGCAACUUGAAGUUGCACAGAAUAAGCGGCAAAAUGCAUGGCAGCAGUU
rnacentral:misc_RNA from 1 species